CCACCACUAAGCCAGUGGUGAACUCCACAUACGCAUCCUUUGCUGAGGAUACGGUUAACGGAGCGAAAGCGACGUUCAACCUCAAAAGAAGCAGAGGGGGCUUAGUGGUGGGGUGACUGCGUACCUUUUGUAUAAUGGGUCAGCGACUUAUAUUCUGUAGCAAGGUUAACCGUAUAGGGGAGCCGUAGGGAAACCGAGUCUUAACCGGGCGUUAAGUUGCAGGGUAUAGACCCGAAACCCGGUGAUCUAGCCAUGGGCAGGUUGAAGGUUGGGUAACACUAACUGGAGGACCGAACCGACUAAUGUUGAAAAAUUAGCGGAUGACCUGUGGCUGGGGGUGAAAGGCCAAUCAAACCGGGAGAUAGCUGGUUCUCCCCGAAAGCUAUUUAGGUAGCGCCUCGUGAAUUCAUCUCCGGGGGUAGAGCACUGUUUCGGCUAGGGGGCCAUCCCGGCUUACCAACCCGAUGCAAACUGCGAAUACCGGAGAAUGUUAUCACGGGAGACACACGGCGGGUGCUAACGUCCGUCGUGAAGAGGGAAACAACCCAGACCGCCAGCUAAGGUCCCAAAGUCAUGGUUAAGUGGGAAACGAUGUGGGAAGGCCCAGACAGCCAGGAUGUUGGCUUAGAAGCAGCCAUCAUUUAAAGAAAGCGUAAUAGCUCACUGGUCGAGUCGGCCUGCGCGGAAGAUGUAACGGGGCUAAACCAUGCACCGAAGCUGCGGCAGCGACACUGUGUGUUGUUGGGUAGGGGAGCGUUCUGUAAGCCUGUGAAGGUGUGUCGUGAGGCAUGCUGGAGGUAUCAGAAGUGCGAAUGCUGACAUAAGUAACGAUAAAGCGGGUGAAAAGCCCGCUCG
rnacentral:rRNA from 1 species